UACAGAGGGCGCGAGCGUUGUCCGGAAUCACUGGGCGUAAAGGGCGCGUAGGCGGCCUGAUAAGUAGGGGGUGAAAUCCUGCGGCUUAACCGCAGGGCUGCCUUCUAAACUGUCAGGCUAGAGCACAGUAGAGGCAGGUGGAAUUCCCGGUGUAGCGGUGGAAUGCGUAGAGAUCGGGAAGAACAUCAGUGGCGAAGGCGGCCUGCUGGGCUGUUGCUGACGCUGAGGCGCGACAGCGUGGGGAGCAAACAGG
rnacentral:rRNA from 1 species